UGCAGUCGNNCGAACCCUUCGGGGUGAGUGGCGCACGGGUGCGUAACGCGUGGGAACCUGCCCUUAGGUUCGGGAUAACAGUGAGAAAUCGCUGCUAAUACCGGAUAAUGUCUUCGGACCAAAGAUUUAUCGCCUUUGGAUGGGCCCGCGUUAGAUUAGGUAGUUGGUGGGGUAAUGGCCUACCAAGCCGACGAUCUAUAGCUGGUCUUAGAGGAUGAUCAGCCACACUGGGACUGAGACACGGCCCAGACUCCUACGGGAGGCAGCAGUGGGGAAUAUUGGACAAUGGGCGAAAGCCUGAUCCAGCAAUGCCGCGUGAGUGAUGAAGGCCUUAGGGUUGUAAAGCUCUUUUACCAGGGAUGAUAAUGACAGUACCUGGAGAAUAAGCUCCGGCUAACUCCGUGCCAGCAGCCGCGGUAAUACGGAGGGAGCUAGCGUUGUUCGGAAAUACUGGGCGUAAAGCGCACGUAGGCGGCGUCGCAAGUCAGGGGUGAAAUCCCGGGGCUCAACCCCGGAACUGCCCUUGAAACUGCAAUGCUAGAAUAUUGGAGAGGCAAGUGGAAUUCCGAGUGUAGAGGUGAAAUUCGUAGAUAUUCGGAAGAACACCAGUGGCGAANGCGACUUGCUGGACAAUUAUUGACGCUGANGUGCGAAAGCGUGGGGAGCAAACAGGANUAGAUACCCUGGUANUCCACGCCGUAAACGAUGAUAACUAGCUGUCCGGGCUCAUANAGCUUGGGUGGCGCANCUAACGCAUUAAGUUAUCCGNCUGGGGAGUAC
rnacentral:rRNA from 1 species